UCCUUGUUGGAUUCAACUUCAAGGGGGAUGGCCGAGAGAGAACCCAGAAUAUCUCAUUCAAAGAAGGGGCAAUAUGUGGCUGAAAAUGACUGAUCAAAGAGAGGAUGAGAAAUUGCCGGAGAUCAAUAGGGCAACAGAGUUUCAGCAAUUAUGAAAUCAAAACCCUAAUUUCGUAGCUGGGAAUAGACGUGAUGUGAGAAGAAAAUUUAAAAAAGGAAAAUGUGAGAAUUUUUCCUGCCAAUGACCUGGAAUCCCAUGAG
rnacentral:misc_RNA from 1 species